UCAGGCUUACUACAGUUGAAUUGCUUUUCUCUAGCAACGAAUUUUUAUCUCUAGUUACGAAUGCGGUCUUUGAAAAGGGUGGUAGGUCUACAUGAUUCCUCAUAGGCUCCCACCCCCUAGGGAGCACCGGGGUUGUCCUGUAGAAAAUGUAGGCCCUUUAAUGAGGUAUUGCCCAAACCCAAAGAGCAGACAUACACUUAAAAAAAAAAGAGAAUUUCUUGCUCCAAAUAACUUUUCCUGAUAUUAAUCAUUGAAUGUUAUUCUAUCAAAUCCUGCAAAUUGAUCUAUCUUUUGUAAGCAUGUUUCUCCGGUAAAGGAACAGAGAUUCUGAAAUCACCGUGGAAUAUGAGCAUCAUCACCAAAUCCCAGCAGAUACUUUUGAUUCCUCUUCCCCCUCUCUCCCAGCAUCAGAACCUUCUAACCCACAAGCCAACCCUGGAUGCACACGCUACUUCUUCUGUAUUCCCCCCUCUUGUUUACUGAACACACCCUGCCUUUCACACCUUGGGGAGAUGAAGACAUGGUUUUCCCUGACUUCUCCAACACGGCAAACUCUUCGUCAUGUUCAAGAGCAGAUCAGAGGCUGCUUCUUCUGUUGAGCCUUCCCUUAGUCCCCCAAGCAGAGUCAACCAGUGUAGAAUACUUUGGGAUGGCCUCUGUCAGUGCUCCGAUAAUGUUCUAUAAUUUUGACUGUUAGCUUCCUGAGGGCAGGCACCAAGACUCCUUCUUUGUUUCCCUAGUACCUGCCAGAGUGGGCUCAAUAUAUUUUAAUGGACUGAAUAGAUGAAUGGAUGAAAUAGGCAUUCUAUAAUUGUAACAACCAUGUGAGUCCCUGUUCACUGAGGACCCAAGGGGCACGUGGAAAAGCACGUUCAAGGUGAACACGGAGCCAUAAAGGGAGAUCAGAGGAGAAACCAAGGCGUUCUCACUUUUAAUAUAUAAAGCUCGUUUUCCAUGUGCAAACUUGGGAAAAUUGAUUUAUAAAGGCAUUUAUGAAACCAACACUGCACACAACCAUCUGAAAUUGAGGUCUGCAGAAUACUACUUCGAACAACAGAAAAUACCAAUGAAAUGAGGAGGGAGACACUUUCCCAAAGUCCAAUUCUAAAAAAUAAAUAACAUGUUUCUUGUAAAAA